rnacentral:lncRNA from 10 species
AAAAUGACAGAGAGUAGCAAUUAUACAAAUUAUCUUUUCUUCCUGGAAAAUGGAGUUUGUAUCUGUAACAAAUCCAUUUUUUAAAAAAAAUUUGUUCAGAUUCCUUUCCUUUCUAUUUACUCAUUCUUCUGUCUCUAUUCACCAUUUAUAUCAUAUUGCAAAACAAUUAUAGUAAUUAUCAAUGUAUUACAGGCAUUGUGCUAAGCAUUAACAAAUGAAUGAGACAGAUACUUUAAUCCUUAUUUUACAAUUGAGGAAAUCAAGAGUUAGGAACUAUAAAUAAUAUUCAUUGAGUGACAUACUUUGUAAAAGACAAAGUCGAUUCUCAAAUUCAGGUCUGUCUGAUUUCAAAGCCUGUGUUCUGUAUCACUACUCCAUACUAAUUUUAAUUUUAAAUUAAAAUUUAAUUUUAUUAUUAUUGUUUUUUAGAGACAAGGUCUGGCUCUGUUGCCCAGGCUGGAAUGCAGUGGUGCAAUUAUAGCUCACCAGCAAUCUUGAACUCCUGGACUCAAGUGAUCUGCCCGCCUCAUCCUCCCUAGUAGCUGGGACUACAGCUGAAUGCCACCAUACCAAGGCAUUGGCUGAGUAAUUCAAAAGAGUGAUUGAAGACUGGAAAGUACCUUAACAGAUAACUUGGGAGAUUUCUAAUGCCUGGAGGCUGCUCCGUCUAUCCAAGUGGGAGCUGCAAGCAAGUCCUGCCUCCUCUCCGCCAUCUUAACCCCUCAACCAGUAAAUGUUUAAAGACACAAAUCUCAAGCCCUCUCAGUCUCCACUCUUCAAAAGUCCGUCCUUUCCUGACUUUACGUGGCAGAAAGACAAUCUGCCUUGCAGCAAGUUUAUGGAUAACACGGAGUUCCCCUGCAAUGAAUAUGUGAACCCUCUGUUCUUCAGGAUAGCACUUGGGAUGAUGUGGAGGUAAACUCGACUGAGCAAUUGCUCAGGCCAGGACCUCCAGUACCAUACUGAAUUGAAAUGGGUAUCUCCAUGACUUCCAUGAACACUUUUUGCUAUUUGAUAAAUUAGGUUUCUGAGCCUAUGUAACUGAAGGACG